rnacentral:rRNA from 1 species
AUUGAACGCUGGCGGCAUGCUUUACACAUGCAGGUCGAACGGCAGCGCGGGGCAACCUGGCGGCGAGUGGCGAACGGGUGAGUAAUAUAUCGGAACGUACCCAGAAGUGGGGGAUAACGUAGCGAAAGUUACGCUAAUACCGCAUACGAUCUACGGAUGAAAGUGGGGGACCUUCGGGCCUCAUGCUUGUGGAGCGGCCGAUAUCUGAUUAGCUAGUUGGUGAGGUAAAGGCUCACCAAGGCGACGAUCAGUAGCUGGUCUGAGAGGACGACCAGCCCCACUGGGACUGAGACACGGCCCAGACUCCUACGGGAGGCAGCAGUGGGGAAUUUUGGACAAUGGGCGCAAGCCUGAUCCAGCAAUGCCGCGUGAGUGAAGAAGGCCUUCGGGUUGUAAAGCUCUUUUGUCAGGGAAGAAACGGGACUGGUUAAUACCUGGUCCUAAUGACGGUACCUGAAGAAUAAGCACCGGCUAACUACGUGCCAGCAGCCGCGGUAACAC